rnacentral:lncRNA from 1 species
AGGUCGCCAUCGCGCUCAAGCGCGCUCAGCUCGUCCGGGCCCAGGCCGGCCAGCGCGUUGACACGCGCAUCCAGCUGCUCCAGGCGGGGCAGGCGCAGCGCGGCGAGUGGCAGGCGGCUCAGCGCGUUGCCUACCAAGCCCAGCAGGCGAAGCUCGGCCAGGGGGGCCAGAGCGGCGUCCAGUGCAUCCAGCAUCCCGGGGCUGCCUCGAGCCAGCGCGUGAUUGAGCUGUAGUGAGCGCAGCGCAGGCAGCCCGCGAAAGGCGCGGUAGCCCAGGGCGCGUAGCGGGUUGUGGCUUAGGUCGAGUGCCGCCAGGCUGGGCAACCCGUCGAAGGCACCGUCCUCUACUACCUCGAUGUUGUUGUGUGUGAGGCGCAGCGCGAAUUGAGAAGCUCAAGACCUGAUUUAAAGAGACAGACUCCAGAGGAGGGAGCAUUCCUGGUCUUGGCAUGAAUUAUUCAGGUUGGAGAAGCUGACAUUUGAUCUGCAGGCCAUUCGAGUAUCUUACUUGGCAGAGCUGGUUGGGAUAGAGGCUCCCCUCCUCCCCAUAAGCAUCAGUCAGUCUCUUUCUCCUGAACUGAAGACUACUGGUUGGUUUCUUCCCUGAAGUUGCAUUUAGAAGAUCGACCAGCAAAUUGAAACCACUUUCUGAGGCAUAUCCUGCAUUCCCUGGGUCUCAGGCAAAUACCAACACUAAGGACCAGGCUGGUGAUCUUGCUGGACUCCCUCAGCUCAUAUUGACCUAGUCCUGUCUCCAUGAUAACCUCCAGAUGCUAGCAGAUGACAGUAGUAGCUUUUAGAGCUGGACAUGUCUGUAUACAUGGCCACCUGAGUUUACACACGUGUGCCUCUACACAAAAAGGCAAACUUUACACAAACAGACUUACACAUGCCCAUGUGUGGUCUAUCAAAUUUAUUCUUACUUGGAUGUGCAUGCAUGUGCACGGGAGGCUUGCACACAGCAGUUCCAAACAAAUGUGUCUCACAUAGACACAUGCAGGCACAUUCGUGCCUGUGUACAUAGCGGCUUUGAGUGUAACCUGGUAUGUGUCCAUAGAGUCAGAAGCAUACCAAAGUGCUUGAGUGUUCACUCACUGGGCCAACACAGGUUCAACUGCAGCCUUAGAGGGGCAGCUUGCAGACUCUUGUGAAAGUGAAUGCGUACAGACGGGGCCCUCUCCUGCUCUGGACUAUGUCCUUGGCCUUUGGAGGUCACAGGUACCUUUUCUCAUACAGCACAAGUGCUCAAAUCAUGAGUGACCAGAACAGCCUGCUUCCCCCACUUAACUGCAUGGAGACCUGCCUCCAGUCCCUACGGAAGUGUAGACCACUGCCAAGGCCAAAACUCCCUCUCCGGUUUUCAUGGUGGCUGCCUUCUCAUUGCUGCUGACUGCCUUCUCCGAGGGAGAGGGGUUACAUAGUUGCAGGCAGCUUUCAUUGACUGGUGUUAAACACCUCAGCUGGGGAAGAGAAGCUUAAGAAGAACGGACAUCAUUAGGCAAGGGGAGUCGUGUUCUCUGUGUUGUAUGAAUGAGGGAAUUGUUGUGUUCUCUGGAAGAAGGGCUCUCUCCCUUCGGGAGUUGCCAGUGUAUUAUGUCCAGUAGGUAUUUCAAUAAAUGUCUGUCUGUUUGAUGCUGA